CUCGGCCUCCCAAAGUGCUGGGAUUACAGCCGUGAGCCACCACACCCGUCCUCCCCAAAGAUUUAAAAACAGGGGCUCACGCAGAUGUUUGUAGAUGAAUUUUCAGAGAAGUACUUAUUUACAACGGCCAGAGGUGGAGAUGGCGCAGAUGACCCUCAGCUGUCUAUGAAGAAACAGCAUGUGGCCUGGCCACGUAUUACUCAGCCACGGAAAAGGAGGAAGCUGACACAGACAUCCACAUAGACAAGCCUUGAUAUCGUGCUAAAUGAAGAAGCAAGUCACAAAAGACCCCAUGUUAUGUGACCGCAUGUGUGUGAACUGUCCAGAAGUGGCAAAUCCAGAGGCAGAAAGCGGGUGAGCAGUGGCUAGGGCCUGUGUGACAAGGGGAAUGGGGCGUCUGUGUGAGGGGUACAGGGUUUGUGGGUGACGGUGACCGUUGCCUGGGGCCGAGGGGAAUGGGGCAUCUGUGUGAGGGGUACGGGGUUUGUGGGUGACGGUGACCAUUGCCUGGGGCCGAGGGGAAUGGGGCAUCUGUGUGAGGGGUACAAGGUUCGUGGGUGACGGUGACCGUUGCCUGGGGCCGAGGGGAAUGGGGCGUCUGUGUGAGGGGUACGGGGUUUGUGGGUGACGGUGACCAUUGCCUGUGGCCGAGGGGAAUGGGGCAUCUGUGUGAGGGGUACAGGGUUUGUGGGUGACGGUGACCGUUGCCUGGGGCCGAGGGGAAUGGGGGCGUCUGUGUGAGGGGUACGGGGUUUGUGGGUGACGGUGACCGUUGCCUGGGGCCGAGGGGAAUGGGGCGUCUGUGUGAGGGGUACGGGGUUUGUGGGUGACGGUGACCGUUGCCUGGGGCCGAGGGGAAUGGGGGCGUCUGUGUGAGGGGUACAGGGUUUGCGGGUGACGGUGACCGUUGCCUGGGGCCGAGGGGAAUGGGGGCGUCUGUGUGAGGGGUACGGGGUUUGUGGGUGACGGUGACCGUUGCCUGGGGCUGAGGGGAAUGGGGCGUCUGUGUGAGGGGUACGGGGUUUGCGGGUGACGGUGACCGUUGCCUGGGGCCGAGGGGAAUGGGGCGUCUGUGUGAGGGGUACGGGGUUUGCUUCUGAAGCGAUGAACCAUUCUGAAACCAGAAGAGGUGCACAGGUUGUGAAGAUGUAGAAAGAUUCACGAAGCACGACUGGGCGCUCCAGGCCAUUGAGUCACUCAUUGUGAAACGGCUGGUUUUAUAUGUCGUGCAUCUUACCCCAAUAAAGCAUUCGAUGAAGCCGACGCUCCGUGGCUCUGAUUUGGGGUGCGCUCUCGCCCAGGCUGGUUUCUGUCACCCCCGGAGUUCUGCAGCACCCGUUCUAACCACAGCCCGCCUUCCCUCACUCCUGCUUCAGUCCCGUAAACCUUCUGCAAAAUCCUGGCCCUCCAGACCCCAGCUGGGUCCUCCCCUCCAGGCCCCCAGUGGCAGCUGUGCCCCUUGUGUGCCCACGUCGGCCAGCGCAAGCCACACAUGGACCCAGUGCCCACUGCACCCCUGCCAGCCUCAGGGUCCCAGCCCGUUGUUCCGGGAGACUUCAGUCCUGGCCCAGGCAUCUCCUUCCAGCUCCUGUCCUUAUCUUGGUGGCCUCAAUGAACGUGCCAAGACCCUUGGGACCCAUGGCUCUGAGACUGGGCUCCCCUUGCGCUGCCUGCCUCCCUCCCGGGGUCCCUGUGAAGGAAGCCGUCCCACCCACCCUGCCGGUCCCUCCUCCCUUCGAGCCCUUCACUGGUCUUCACUCCUCAUUCCUGGUCCCCUCAGCUACAAAGAGCCUCCUGCUGUGCACGGAGAAAA
rnacentral:lncRNA from 1 species